rnacentral:misc_RNA from 1 species
GAUGAAGAACGUAGCGAAAUGCGAUACGUAAUGUGAAUUGCAGAAUUCCGUGAAUCAUCGAAUCUUUGAACGCACAUUGCGCCCUGUGGUAUUCCGCAGGGCAUGCCUGUUCGAGCGUCAUUUCAACCCUCAAGCUCUGCUUGGUGUUGGGCCCUGCCCGCUGCGGCCGGCCCUAAAGACAGUGGCGGUGCCGCCUGGCCCUGAGCGUAGUACAUCUCUCGCUCCAGUGCCCGGUGGUAGCCUGCCAGAACCCCAACUCUCGUGGUUGACCUCGGAUCAGGUAGGGAUACCCGCUGAACUUAAGCAUAUCAAUAAGCGGAGGA